UGAUGGAAGAGCUCAGCUGGGCUAGAAGUGUGGCUAGGAAAAGUAUGGGUAGGCCAGCAACUGACGUCUUGUAGGAUUAUAAACCAGGACUUUUUUUUAAUUUCUUUUUAUUCUGUUACAAGUGGGAAAAAAAAAGAAGUAUGAAAAAGUAUGAUAGCAGAAGGAAGUCAAGUCUCCAAAAAGCUUAAGUUGAAUUUUCAUCCUCUUCUGACUUCAUGAAGAAGGCUCCUGUGGAGAAAUCCUUGGUCAUGGGACACUGAAAGAAGAAAUAUUUUGGAAGAGCUGUUCAGAUGUCACACUGAGAAACAAUGCUUAGCAUGGUAGAGUUUUAGACUCUGUGUGGUUUGGCCUCUGAUGAGCAAUCCUCACUGUAAAAAGGGAAGUGCUAAAUGAGUUGUGCUCAGGGUGCUGGUUUGCAGAAGAGCUGGGCCAAAGCUGGCAGCAGCACUCAAGGAUGUCAGCCCCCUGUUGUCCUGACCUUAACCUGAGGACCCAUACCACUGAGGCAGCUGCACCACAACACACAGGUAAUGCAGGAAAAGGCAGCAUGCUGUACCUGUGCAGUAGCUUUCAGUGGGUAUUUUCCCAGCUGUCAGCAAAGCUGCAGAGCCAAACAAGAUUAAGUGUGGAAAGUGAGAGAAGGUUACAUGGUCCCAGCUGUCCUGUGAUUGUGUUCAUGAGGUAAGUGGUGACUAUUUAUUGUAUAGGCCUGUGUGCCUUCCUUUUUAUAAUGACAUAGAAAAAAGAACUUCUUGCAUUACAGAGUCAUCAUGCAUUUUUUUUAUCUGCAACGAGGACCUCAGUGGGGCUUUCAAAGGCUAUGUACAAACUUACAUGCAGGAGCUCAGGUAUGAAAAGGCACAUGCAGGAGAGAGAAACCAGGUAAUGGCCAUUUCUCCUAUUUUUCUAUAUAAACAAUUAAUAUUCUUGCAUUUCUAAUAUUAUCUCAGUAAUUAAUAACCUAUAUAAUUUUGGCUUUUAACAUAUAAUCCUCAAAUUUC
rnacentral:lncRNA from 1 species